CUCUUCCUGGGAUUGGAGAGAAGAGAGAGAUGAAGACAGGGCCGGUCCAGAAUUCUCCCCUGCAUCCUGACAGCCACCCUGCAGCAAAUCUCACUGAUUUUGACAAGUACGUCCCAAAGCUGCCUGCCUCUCCACGUCUCUGACCUUCAGUCCUGGUCCGUCCACCAUCAUCCUGUGCCUGGAUUCCUACAGGAGCUGACCCGGGACCAUCGCCCCAGGGAAGCAGUUGCUCUCUGAUGCCCGGAGAACACAGGCAGCCCUGACCCCCGCUGGGUAUGGCACCGUCAGGAAGGCUAAAUGGAGGCUAAUUUCUCUAGGCCAGAACUUCUCAAAUGAGGCUCCCCAGGCUCUAAGGGCUGCAGAGAAGUUUCCAGAGAAGCCACUGAGGAUAGAAGUGGACACAUCGGGUGACUCCAAAGAUCUUCACACCUCUGGAUGACUAACAAUGCUUGAGCACCUCCUAUUUUCAAGAAAUUUGCAAAUACUUUUCCAAAAAUCAACUUUUUUUCAUCUUCAUAUGGGGCUAUGACAUCCCCAUUGAACAGAUAAAAAAAACUGAGGCCCAGGAAAGGAACUGCUCAAGUUAUGUAGUAAGUGAGCAGCUGCCUGCAUGAUAUGAGUCACCUCCCAACCCUCCACCCAGGUCUUGAAAUACCUCUCCUGUUUCCUGCCUGUCUUCUGCUGUGAGUUUCCCAUUUGUAGCAACCUGCAAGGCAUUCUGGCAGGAACCAUAUCUUGAGCCUGAUCAGUUACUACUUAGUGGGAUCAGCUGGAAGGCAAGAUUUGGGGUGGGGGGUGGCAGUGCAGCUGAGAGUAGUGUGGGGGGCUAGACUGGAGGUCAGAGGAUGAGAUUUUCUGACGGAGCGUCAGGUGAGUUCUUGAUCUCCAUACACUUACCUCCGGGCUGCACUGCGGAUCUUUAUCCACUCCUUUUCGAGCCGGGAAACAAGUUCUUCUGAGGAGUUUUCACGCCCAAGCGACCAGAGAUCUUUUGGUCUCAGUGGCUUCCUGUAGCCUCUCCAGACCAGCCUGCAAAAGAGGGGCAUCAGGGCAAGCUCCUCCUGCCAUUCACUGCUGCAGGAUCCUGGCCAGGCCAGCAGCUGUGUGCCCCUGAGUAAGUCACUUUAUCUCUCUGUACCCCUCCUGGCCCUUGGGUAAAAUGACAGCAAUUCACUAACCCCACCUAACAUCUGUGGGCACUUCUUGGCUCACAGAGACGGUCCCAUUCAUUAAUUCUUACAUCAGCGCACAGGGUGGUUUUCUGUUUGUUUCAUUUUUGAGAUGGAGUCUUGCUCUGUUGCUCAGGCUGGAGUGCAGUGGCGUGAUCUUGGCUACUGCAACCUCCACCUCCAGGGUUCAAAUGAUUCUCCCACUUCAGCCUCCUGAGUAGAUGGAAUUACAGGCACCCACCACCACACCUGGCUAACUUUUUUAUUUUUUGUAGAGACGGGGUUCACCAUGUUGGCCAGGCUGGUCUUGAACUCCUGGCCUCAGGUGAUCCACCCAUCUCAGCCUCCCAAAGUGCUGGGAUUACAAGCAUGAGCCACCACACCCAGCCUGUAAAUUGAUAGUUUAUAAUUGGAUAAAUGUAUAUUAUUACAGAUGUGUUUUACAAAUGGGGAAGGAAAUAGAAGUACAGAGAGAUUAAGUGACUACAGCAAGGGACAUCCCUUGGCAAGGGAAACAGACAUUUCCCUGGGAGUCCUAAGUCCAGCAUCCAAAACUCAUUGUAGAAGAAACCCGAAUUCCUUCCUCAGCUUUAUUUUACUAUUAUUGUUAUUUUUAAGGCAGAGUCUUGCUCUGUUGCCCAGGCUGGAGGGCAGUGUUGCAAUCUGGGCUCACUGCAACCUCCACCUCCCUGGUUUAAGUGAUUCCCAUGCCUCGGCCUCCCGAGUAGUUGAAAUUACAGGUACCUACCAUCAUGCCUGACUAAUUUUUGUGUUUUAGUAGAGAUGGUGUAUCACCAUGCUGGCCAGGCUGAUCUCAACCUACUGGCCUCAAGCAAUCCUCCCAUCUCAGCCUCCCAAAGUGCUGGGACUACAGGUGUAUGCCACCACGCCCAGCUAAUUUUUGUGUUUAUAGUAGAGACGGGAUUUUGCCAUGUUGGUUAGGCUGAUCUUGAAGUCCUGGCCUCAAGGGAACUGUCUGCCUUGGCCUUCCAAAGUGCUGGGAUUACGGGUGUGAGCCACCGCACCUGGUCUCAGGUCUCUUUAAUCUUUCUGAUGACACCAGCCAGAAUGCCUUGCCUGGUUCUGGUCUCUGACUCUUCUCUGAGCCCCACGAAGUUCCCUUUUCUACUUUUAAAACAUUUUUUGAGAUAGAGCCUCACUCUGUCGCCCAGGCUGGAGUGCAUUGGUGUGAUCUCUGCUUCUGCUUUCUGCAGCCUCUGCCUCCCAGGUUCAAGUGAUUUCCCUGCCUCAGCCUCCUGAGUGGCUGAGAUUACAGGUACCCACCACCACACCAUGCUAAUUUUUAUAGUUUUAGUAGAGACGGGGUUUCACCAUGUUGGUUAGGCUGGUCUCGAGCUCCUGACCUCAGGUGAUCCACCUGCCUCAGCCUCCCAAGGUGCUGGGAUUACAGGCAUGAGCCACUGUGCCUAGCCACCAAAUUCCCUUUUCUAAUGCAGAGCCAACUUGGGAAGCAACUGUUUGGACACAGAAAUUAUUAACAUGGCUUGAUUUUCCCUGGAAUUAUUUUUGGAAUUCUCCUAUAUGGUAAGUGAUACUACAGAGUUUUCCUAUUUUGGCAGCUACAGAAAGUUUCUUUUUAGAAACAGUUUAUUAGAGUUAAAAAAGUGAUUCAAUUUAAUUUUUGCCCCAGUAGGACAAAAAGCAUGAAGAGUGGUCCAUAAAUGCUUAAGUUUGGGAAGCAAGGGCUGGACCCCCCAGUAGGGCUGUUUAGAAAACGUUUCUGCCAAUUCCACACAUCCAAAGCCUGAUAUUUUUCAUUUAUUUAAUAACACUUAGGCCGGGUGCAGUGGUUCAUGCUGUAAUCCCAGCACUUUGGGAGGUCAUGCCAUUGUACUGCAGCCUGGGCAACAAGAGUGAAACUGUCUCAAAAAAAAAAGAAGAAGAAGAAGAACAGGCCGGGGGUGGUGGCUCAUGCUGUAAUCCCAGCACUUUGGGAGGCCACGGUGAUGGAUCACCUGAGGUCAGAAGUUCAAGACCAGCCUGACCAAUAUGGAGAAACCCCACCUCUACUAAAAACACCAAACUAGCCGGGCGUGGUGGUGUAAGCCUAUAAUCCCAGGUACUUGGGAGGCUGAGGCAGGAGAAUAGGAGAAUUGCUUGAACCUGGGAGGUGGAGGUUGCAGUGAGCUGAGAUUGCAUUAUUGCACUCUAGCCUGGGCGAUAAGAAUAAAACUCGGUCUCAAAAUAAAUAAAUAAAUAUUUAAAAAUAAUAACCACUUACACUCAUUAUGUGCCAGGCCCCCCCUCCUUUUUUUUUUUUUUUUUUGACACAGUCUUGCUUUGUCACCAGGCUGGAGUGCAGUGGCACCAUCUUGGCUCAUUACAACCACUGACUCCUGGGUGCAAGUGAUUCUCCUGCCUUGGCCCCCCGAGUAGCUUGGACUGUAGGUCAUCACCACCACACCCAGCUAAGUGUAUUCUUAGUAGAGAUGGGGUUUCACCAUGUUGACCAGCAUGGUCUUGAUCUCUUGACCUCAUGAUCCUCCCACCUCGGCCUCCCAAAGUGCUGGGAUUAUGGGCAUGAGCCAGCGCCUGUUCCAGGCCCUGAUCUAAGUGCUUUACAGAAUUUAUCCUAUUUCAUCUUCACAACUCUAUGAGGUAGGUGCUUUAUUAAUCCCAUUUUGAAGGAAUGGAGACUAAGGCACAGAGAGGUUAAGUAGCUUGCCCAAAGCUACACAGCUAGAAGUGAUAGGGCCAGGACUGAGCUCCACAGGUCUUGUGCUGAGGUCUGGAUGCAGUGUGGUCAGGAGGGAGCACAUCCUCAAGUGCCUGCUGAGCUGGCCAUGGAGAGGCAGCUGUUUCCUCCAUCUGCCUGGAACCCUCUAGGAAGUAGACACUUGCUCCUUUAUCUCCUUGCCCCUGGUGCUUAGCACAUAGUAGGUGCUUAUUAAAUGCUGGUGGAAUGACUGAAGCCAAGUAGUGGAGACAAUUCUAUUUCUAUUAAGCACCUGCUGUGUGCCAGCACUAAGCACUCUUCCAGUCAUGAAGGUUGAGUUAUCCCCAUUUUACAGAGGGGAAAACUGAGACUCCAGGACUUGUGACAUGGCCUGCUAAGAGGCAGAGGCAGAAUUUGAAUCCAGAUCUCACUCCGGUGACUGAGUAGGAACAGGAUGUAGACAGUGGACCCUGACACAGAGAAGAAAAGAAGAAAGUGCCGAGGCUGGGAUGGAGAAAGCCUGGCUGGCCUUUGUGAGCAUGGGGGAGCCUUAUGGGGAAGAGCCAUGGGUGGAAAUCAGUGCAGCAAAUGCAGGUGGGUGAGGCACCCCCAACCCUUCCCUGUGACUUUACUUACCCAGAAACCCACCAGAACAUGGCUUUGGAGGGGAAGGAUGCCCCCGCCUCUGGACAGGGAUUCUGCAACAGACAAAAGUGGAGAACGGGGAAGCCUUGGUCUCACAUCCCCUGGUGAGUGUGUGGGAAGGGCAGGAAGACAAGAUGAACUGACUGUGUUUUUUUUGAGACGGGAUUUUGCUCUGUCAUUCAGGCUGGAGUAUAGUGGUGUGAUCUUGGCUCAUUGCUACCUCUGCCUCCCAGGUUCAAGUGAUUCUCCUGUCUCAGCCUUCCAAAGAGCUAGGAUUACAAGUGUGUACCACCACACCUGGCUAAUUAUUUUGUAUUUUUAGUAGAGACAGGGUUUCACCAUGUUGGCCAGGCUAGUCUCAAACUCCUGACCUCACGUCAUCUGCCCACUUUGGCCUCCCAAAGUGCUGGGAUUACAGGCAUGAGCCAGUGACCCGGCCCUGACUGUGUAUUUGGUACUGAAAGUACACGUUGGGUUGCCCUGUCUCCUUCCCAGAGGUGCACACCAAUGAGCUUGGUGCUUCCCAGCAGGCAGGGCAAAAAGGGAUUGGGCCGCAGGACUGACAGUGUCUGCAAAGUAAGAGGUAACCGUGGCUCAGAAGAACAACUCUGAUUAUACUGAAACCAAACCUUUGCUUUGCUUCUCAAAGCAGGGCCCCUGCAUAAUGAAGACAAUGAGGUUCUUGACAAUAUCCCUCAGCAAAUGCUGUGGAGAGAAACCUGUGCUGCGAUUUUGUCAGGUGCUCCAGGGAGAUUACACCAGCCUGUACUCUUUACCGUCGCAGAGUUGAGGAGUUUCCGCAGAGAUCACCGUAUGGCUCACAGAGUCUAAAGUAUUUUCUCUUGCCCCGAACACAAAAGGUCUGCCAACCCUGGCCCCAACUAGAAAUGCAAUUCACAUUCUGCUGAAUGGAGAAAUGAAUAAAAAAUUAAAGACUGAGAUCUCAACAUGGAAGAGGAAUGAGCUGGGGUUUUCUUGCUUCCUUUGACUCCUGGCGAAACCAAGGCUCAGAGAGGCCCCUUGUUUCAAGGACACAGAUGAUCUGGUUUAAAUGGUGAUGCUCCUACUGCCACAUUGCGAUGACUUCUGCAUCUGCUGCCCUGACAUCUGCUCACACACACUCUAAUUGUAUUUCUUUUUUUAAUUGAAAACAUUUUUAUUUUUAAAUUUUAGGUAUGUAUGUAUAUAUACAUGAUUUUAUUUUUUAAUUUUAGGUGUAUUAUAUAUGUGUAUUUGUAUGUGUGUAUAUAAAUAUAUAUAUAUUUUGAGACAGAGUCUUGCUCUGUCACCCAGGCUGGUUGUGGAGUGGCAUGAUCUCAGCUCACUGCAACUUCUGCCUCCUGGGUUCAAGCCGUUCUCUUGCCUCAGCAUCCUGAGUAGCUAGGAUUACAGGUAUAUGCCACAAAGUCUGGCUAAUUUUUGUAUUUUUAGUAGAGAUAGGGUUUCACCAUGUUGGCCAGGCUGGUCUCUAACUCCUGACCUCAGCGGAUCCACCCACCUCAGCCUCCCAAAGUGCUAGGAUUACAGGUGUGAGCCACUGUGUUCAGCCCAGAGCCCUAGUUUCAAAUAGCAGUUCCUCUACUGGAUUUUUUACUCUUUUAGGUUUUUUUUGGUGGUUUUUUUUUUUUGGCAGAUAGGAGAUCAUUGGAUAUUCCAAUGACAAUAUGGCCCAUAUUCCCUAAACUGACACUGUCUUCCCUACUUUCUAUAAGAAAGCUUGUUCCACAUUUGUCUGAGAUGACCUUGGGCUCUGCACUCCCCAGCUGUGUGGCCCUGAGGCCGUCAUUCCCUUCUCCUUGCCUUAGUUUCUCUCCUCUGUAAAAUGAACUGUUAGAAUCCAUCACUGGCUGGGCACAUUGGCUCAAGCCUGUAAUCCCAGCACUUUGGGAGGCUGAGGCGGAAAGAUCACUUGAGUCCUGGAGUUUGAGACCAGCCUUGGGAACAUAGUAAGACUUUAUCUCUAUUUAAAAAAAGAAAAAAGAAUCCAUCACUGUGCCCUGCUGUGGGAAUCCAUGGGACAGGCGUGUAAGUGCCUGCCACAUGCUUGGAACCCCAGACUGUAAAUGGUCCCAGUAUUAUUGUUUCUAUGCUGUGUCCCAAAAAGCUGACUUAGGUCAACUGUGGGAGCCCAGCCUUGCAGAAAUUACUGAAUAACCUGUGGAAUUUCCUCUUAGUUACAAAGGUUAAUCUUUUAAAAAUGCUAUCCUUGGUCAGGCGCUGUGGCUCAUACCUGCAAUCCCAGCACUUUGGGGGGCCAAGGCGGGUGGAUUACUUGAAGUCAGGCAUUCGAGACCAGCCUGGCCAACAUGGGAAAACCCUGUCUGUACUAAAAAUACAAAAAUCAACUGGGCGUGGUGGCACACUCCUGUAAUCCCAGCUACUUGGGAGGCUGAGGCAUGAGAAUCACCUGAACCGGGAGUUGGAGGUUGCAGUGAGCCAAGAUCAUGCCACUGCACUCCAGCCUGGGCGACAGAGCAAGCCUCUCAGAAUAAACAAAUAAAAUAAACAAACAAACAAAAAAUAAAAACUUUGUCCUUAAGGACAGGAUGAUGUUUCUCUACCUUCUUCUUUAGGGGCAGGAUGGAGUAACCACUGGACUCCAGAAAUGAUCUGUAGUCCAGACGUGCUGGCUCACGCCCAUAAUCUUAGCACUUUAGGGGCUGAGGUCAGAGAAUUGCUCAAACACAGGAGUUCAAGAUCAGCCUGGGCAACAAAGAACGACCUUUUCUCCAUAAAAAUAAAAUAAUAAAGUAAAAUAUCUGCAACCUGCUACAGCCUGGUCAUUGGUGUCAAGAUAACCCCUCUCCCCAAAGCCUUGGCUAAGCACUGUUGAGGCCAGUGACCCUCAAGAGGUGGGUGAUUCUGUCCUCCCCACCCCAGGGACAUAUGGUAAUAUUGGGAGACAUUUUGGGUUACUGCAGUUGGAUGACAUGCUACUGGCAUCUAUGGGUGGAAGCCAGAGAUGCUGUUUCACACCCUCCAGCAAACAGGACACCCCUGUCCUCCCAACAAACAGUC